rnacentral:lncRNA from 1 species
GUUCAUCCACGCUAUACCGUGUCCGCACUCCAUGCCUUUUUAUGUCUGAGUAAUAUUUCACAUUUGAUUCAUGCAUCUGUUGGUGGACAUUUGGGUUGUUUCAAUCUUCCGACUAUUGUGAAUACUGCUGCUAUGAAGACUGAUCAGCGGACGAAAACCUGCUAGAUGGGAGAAGGCAGACAGGUCUUUCAAUCAAGGAGGGAAGAACAGGUAUGUGAUC